AUGAGGACGACGAAGCGGCGUGUCGCUAACUCGGCGGGCCCAUUCUCGUUUGCGCCAAAAUCGGUUUCCCCGGCGCCCCCAGUGCGCCAGGUUCAGGUUGGGUGUGCCGGCAUCAAUUUUGGCCCGAACAGAAGAAACGGGCUCCUGGGGCGUGACUGGGCCGUUUUUGGGGCGCCGGUGCUAAAAAACGGCCUGGGGGCCUGUUGGGGGCGCGGCUGGAGAUGCUCCAAGAAAAUUGACAAGGAAGCACGGAGAGUGGUGUCCACCUACGAGUCCGUUCCCAGGGGAACCCUGUGGGAUUACUGCCGCCACCCGAGCCGCUGGCACAUAAUCCUGCCGGUCAUGGUGAGCUCCAUGGUCGCAGAGCAGCAUUCUGACGUGCUCCUUGUUACGAUGCCCAAGUCCGGGACUACCUGGAUCAAGGCCCUCCUAGAUGCACACACACACAAGGCUGCGGCCCACCGCACCGACAACACAUCAUCGUCCAUAUUUCGGCAGCUCACCUCCCACAACUCCCACCAGCUCAUUCCUUUCCUCGAGACCCAGGUCUACACCAAGGGACAGAUUCCCGACCUGAGCUCGCUUCCAUCCCCACGGCUCUUUGCCACACACAUCCCGGCUGAGCCUCUGCCACCCUCCAUUGUGGUGUCGGGAUGCAAGGUGGUGUAUUUGUGUCGGGACCCCAAGGACUGCUUUGUGUCUCUCUGGCACUUUGUGAGAAAGUUCACCCCACGUGACAUAGACGAGGCACACGACUAGUUCUGCAAUGGUGUCUCAUUGUAUGGGCCAUUCUGGGAGCACGUGCUGAGCUACUGGCGGUGGCACGUUGAGAGACCGGGAUAGGUGCUCUUCCUGACUUACGAGGAGCUCAGCGCUGACCCUCUCGGCCAGCUGAGGCGCCUUGCCGAGUUCAUCGAGCGCCCCUUCACGCCAAGGGAGCAUGAGGCCAGAGUGGACAGGGAGAUUGCGGAGGCAUGUGCCAUGAAGAGCAUGCUCAACCAGGAGGUGAACCAGUCGGGGAUGACCGAAAUCGCUGAGAUGCAAAUUCCCAACGGGAUCUUCUUCAGGUGCGGUGUGGUUGGAGGUUGGACCAACUACCUCAUGCCAGAGAUGGCGGGAAGGAUUGAUGAGAUUACCAAGAGCAAGUUCGAAGGAUCCGGCCUCAGGCUGCCCAAAACAAUCUCAAAAAUCCCAAGAUCUAGCAUUCCUACGUCGCAUUUGAUGUUUGAAAUUGUUUACCUUAAUUUUCUUGCUCUUGUUGUAAACUGCACCCUGCUGUCACUACCUUGGCUGAAUAAAAAAAUCUUGCAUUGUUCUUGUUGA
rnacentral:rRNA from 1 species